rnacentral:rRNA from 1 species
AAAACAUCGCCUCCUGCAAAAUCAAAGUAUAAGAGGUCCUACCUGCCCAGUGACUAAGUUUAACGGCCGCGGUAUCUUGACCGUGCUAAGGUAGCGCAAUCACUUGUCUUUUAAAUGAAGACCUGUAUGAAUGGUGAAACGAGGGCUUAACUGUCUCCCCUUUCAAGUCAGUGAAAUUGAUCUGUCCGUGCAGAAGCGGACAUGAAUAUACAAGACGAGAAGACCCUUUGGAGCUUAAGAUAUAAAAUCAACUACACUAAGAACUACAACAAAAAAACUUAAAUUUAGUAAUACUGGUUUACAUCUUCGGUUGGGGCGACCACGGGGGAAAAAUAAGCCCCCACGCAGAAUGGGUAAAACCUAAAACCAAGAGGGACACCUCUAAGCCACAGAACCUCUGACUAUAAGAUCCGGCAAAUAGCCGAUCAACGGACCAAGUUACCCUAGGGAUAACAGCGCAAUCCCCUUCAAGAGUUCCUAUCGACAAGGGGGUUUACGACCUCGAUGUUGGAUCAGGACAUCCUAAUGGUGCAGCCGCUAUUAAGGGUUCGUUUGGGUUAUUGGAUCAAGUGCUGUCUCUCCUG